rnacentral:rRNA from 1 species
GACGUAGGGCGCGAGCGUUGUCCGGAUUUAUUGGGCGUAAAGAGCUCGUAGGCGGCUUGUCGCGUCGUCCGUGAAAACUUGGGGCUCAACCCCAAGCUUGCGGUCGAUACGGGCAGGCUCGAGUUCGGUAGGGGAGACUGGAAUUCCUGGUGUAGCGGUGAAAUGCGCAGAUAUCAGGAGGAACACCGAUGGCGAAGGCAGGUCUCUGGGCAUUAACUGACGCUGAGGAGCGAAAGCAUGGGGAGCGAACAGG